rnacentral:lncRNA from 1 species
UUCAUGCACUUCCCGAAAUGUAUAUUCUACUUACGAAGGAGUCAAACACUUGAGGAGUGGAAACUAAAGGCCCUUCGGUAUAAGUCUCCGUCAAUAAGGAUGAAGUUUGAGCUCUCAUGCUUGAUCUUGUUCGCAUAGAUGCGAUCUAAAGGUAGGACCCCAUCAGCUAGGUAUGCGAUGUAUGGGGUGAGCCAACAAUCCAGCCGAUCUAAAUCUAAGACAUCCACCUUCA